rnacentral:rRNA from 1 species
GACAGAGGUCCCAAGCGUUAGGCGGAAUCACUGGGCUUAAAGCGUGUGUAGGCGGAUGCCUAAGUACCUUGUGAAAUCCCACGGCUCACCCGUGGAACUGCUUGGUAUACUGGGUGUCUUGAGCCACUUAGGGGCUACCGGAACAAAUGGUGGAGCGGUGAAAUGCGUAGAUAUCAAGAGGAACACCUGAGGUGAAGACGGGUUGCUGGGCUGACACUGACGCUGAGGCGCGAAAGCUAGGGUAGCAAACGGG